rnacentral:rRNA from 1 species
UACGUAGGGUGCAAGCGUUAAUCGGAAUUACUGGGCGUAAAGCGUGCGCAGGCGGUGAUGUAAGACAGGUGUGAAAUCCCCGGGCUUAACCUGGGAACUGCAUUUGUGACUGCAUCGCUGGAGUGCGGCAGAGGGGGAUGGAAUUCCACGUGUAGCAGUGAAAUGCGUAGAGAUGUGGAGGAACACCGAUGGCGAAGGCAGCCUCCUGGGCCAGCACUGACGCUCAUGCACGAAAGCGUGGGGAGCAAACAGG